rnacentral:rRNA from 1 species
GACGAACGCUGGCGGCGUGCUUAACACAUGCAAGUCGAACGGAAAGGCCCUGCUUUUGUGGGGUGCUCGAGUGGCGAACGGGUGAGUAACACGUGAGUAACCUGCCCUUGACUUUGGGAUAACUUCAGGAAACUGGGGCUAAUACCGGAUAGGAGCUCCUGCUGCAUGGUGGGGGUUGGAAAGUUUCGGCGGUUGGGGAUGGACUCGCGACUUAUCAGCUUGUUGGUGGGGUAGUGGCUUACCAAGGCUUUGACGGGUAGCCGGCCUGAGAGGGUGACCGGCCACAUUGGGACUGAGAUACGGCCCAGACUCCUACGGGUGGCAGCAGUGGGGAAUAUUGCACAAUGGGCGGAAGCCUGAUGCAGCAACGCCGCGUGCGGGAUGACGGCCUUCGGGUUGUAAACCGCUUUCGCCUGUGACGAAGCGUGAGUGACGGUAAUGGGUAAAGAAGCACCGGCUAACUACGUG